rnacentral:lncRNA from 1 species
CAACACAAAGGACACGCCAUUUGCAUUAUUUAUUAAUUUGUUUUGGAUCUAGAAAUAGACAUUGACAUUCCCAUUCCUCCUAUAAUUGAACUAAGAGUGGGAGAUAUUAUCAUGUUAUUAUUGUAUAUGAAUGAUCUAACCAACUGGUGUUUGAAAGACCCAUUUUGGUGGAGGAUCAUGGCAUGGGGAACUUGUGGCUGCUUUGCCUUGGUUCACUAAGGUCGAGCCAGUUCAGCUUAUAAUUAUUGGCAUGGAGAUUAUGACAAGCACAUCAUAUUAUUGGCAUAUGUGGUGGGGUAACCCACCAUAAAGACGAUUCAAUUUUAGGAGAUCUGGUUAUCUUACAUCAAACUGGGGUCCUAAAUCAGGUGCUCUUUUCGUUUUAGUUUCUUCUUAUCUUCCUUCCUUCACCUUUCUUUUUGGAUUUGCUCUUUGCCUAAUUUUAAACUAAUUUGUUGCUAAUUAUUGUAGAUGUGCCCUUUCAAUUUUUCUUUUUUAAUAGAUUUUAUUGUUACUAGCUACAUAAAGUUAAGAUUACUAAAUCAAUUUUAAGUACAACUAACCCUUAUGCUAUUAUUAUUUUAUUUCUGAAAAGCAAACCUAAUAAUUUAAAGUUAAUAUUUGCAAUUUUGCAUGUGCUUUUAGGUUCAUUCAAUCUUAUAUUUUUAUUUCAUGUGAUUAAUUUAAAGUAAUAUUAUUAAAAAUGAUUUGAACAUAUUAACUAUUUUUAAAUUACAACAAUAAAAAAACUUCAAACCGUAAUUGAAUCUCAAUCAAACUAAUACAAUCAGCACGAUCUCUGUAAUAGUUAAAUUUGUUGCAGAGUCAAUUUUUUAUGUGUUAUUUUUACAAUCCAUGAUAGCUUGGAGACGACAUGGUUGGGAGAGGCAGCCACGAACCCUGAACAAGACCAUAAAAUAUACAUGAAAAAUAUUAAAAAAUAUAUAGUUCUAUUCCUAAGUGAAAAAAAAUAGUUCAGAUAUUAUUUCAAUAAAAUAUUUAAAUUUUAUAUAAAAAAAUCUAUUAGUCAUAUUUUAUUAAAUGAAUUACAUUUGUAAAUUUUAUUAAAAAUAUGAAUUAAACUCACUAAUUAAUAUUAUUAGUAUUGUUAAAAAAUAAAGAGACAUGGAGAGAAUAAAGAACAAAGAAGAUAUGAAAGGGAUAGAGAAUGUACUUUAUUGAUCAAAAGGGGUGAUUACAAUACUUCAUCAGAGUCUCUGUUUAUAGGCAUAAGAAGUACAAAAGAAGUAGAGAUCUAAUUCUAAUAACCAUUAGGAUUUAAAGUACAUUAAAACUUUAUCUUGAUCAUGAUGGACAUCAACUUAAUAAGAUAUUCAUAACAUUCCCCCUUAGAUGUCCAUUCGUAAAUAAUGUGCCUCAUCAAAACCUUAUUAGGAAAAACCCUAUGGGAUAAAAACUUAAUGAAGGAAAAAGAGUACACAAUCUAUAAUACGCAUAAUAUGCAGCCUCAUUAAAAACCUUACCAGGAAAACCCAAUGGGACAAAACCUCGAUUAAGGGAAAAAGAUCGUGCAACACAUAUUUACUUCCCCUCAUGAAAGCAUCACAUAUUUUCUCAUAUUCUACAUAUUCAAUCUUGAAUACUAGUUUUUCAAAUUACUAUUUGAAUAUAUUUACUAAGGAUUUAUAUUGUCAUUCUUUUAAAAGUCAUGAGUGAGAGAAAUUUGGGGAAAUAUAUUUUGAUCUCUUCAAGAGAUUCAACAAUAAUCAUAACAAACUUUAAUCAUGAUUCUUUUAUAAAAACACAAAUAUAUAUUUUGGAUAAUUUUAUAAUCCUCCUUCAACUACUAUUCACUAAGUCAAAUUUACCUCAUAUGUUCAAAUUAUUUCAAUUCAUAUAAAUGAACAAUUUCUCGAGAAUUUCAAUAUGUUUCUAGCAUCCUAAAUCCUUCAAUGAUUUUAAUAUAAACUUUACGUAUAGUGAUUCAUAAAAGGUUGUAACAAUAACCAUUAGACGCAAGUUAAAUCUUUUAUAAAUUGUCAAUUUAAUAAUAUAUCUAAAGGUUAUUGCAUCCACCACAACAGAAUAUUAUAUCUUUUCAUAAUUAAUGGCAGGACUUAGCGAAAUACUUCUUAUUUUUAUUUCGUUUUUGCAAAACUACUUCAAUUGCACCUUCACUGGCUUUAUACAUUUAGAUAUUUGGACUAUUGGUCCAAAAACUCUACGAAUUUAAUUGCACUUGAGUUGCGUCUUUUUAUUUUGAUCAAUUUAUUCCAUAUAUAUAUUUCUCAAUAGAUUUAUUCAAGAUCCUCAUUUUAUUUCAUUAUUUCAAUAAUAAUAUUGCAUGCAAAAUCAUUGUCGACCACUUUUAUUAUUCGGUUUCAUAUUUUCUUAAAUUGACAUAACUUAUCAAGAUCUCUUAUUUUAACUAUUUUAAUCUUCAGUUUCAGGUACCUGAAUCUCUUCUGGAGUUUUACUUAUUAGUUAUGUCUUGAGUCUCUUCUGGAGAACCCACCUAUAUGACCAUCUAGAAGAAUUUUCAUCUUCGGAACCGAUCAAUCUAUUAUUUAUUCUAACUAAUUGUCCUACUGAGACUUUUUAUUCAAAUUAAAAUAUUAACUUGGUUAUUCUCAUUAAUUUUGUAAAUACAUCUGAUAGUUAACUUGUAAUGAGUUAUCUUUAUUGAACUUCUGGUUCAAAUUACUCUCCCCCUAACUCAUUACAAGUUAUUAUUUCUCUUCCCCUAAUGUUGAGAAAACUAUCGUAUCAAAAUUGUAAUAACAAAUCAUGUCAUAAUUGAAUCUCGAAUACAUUCAAAACAUCUAAUAAUAUAAAGAAACUUGUAAUUAAUAUAUAUUCCCAACUUUCUUUAAGGAUUCACUCAUCUUUGUGCGUUGUGGUGGAGCAAUAGGAACAUAUACACACAUACAAAAAUUCAAAGAUGAGAAAUAUUUAGCUCUUGAUCAAAAACUAAUUGUAAUGAAGAGUAAUAACUUACUGGCUUGAUGCAUACAACACAUAAAUCAACAUAAUCUCAUGUUGAAAUAGGAAUUUUAGUUCUCAUAACUAAUGAUUUAGACAUUAAUCAGAGGUAUUUAAUCAAUAAUUUCUCUAAAUCAUUAUGCGCAAACUUUUACAAAAGUUUUUCAAACUCAAUAAAAUCAUUAGUAUUAGCAAGAUGAGUUGUCUUAAUUGCAUGAUCUGAAAUUAAUUAUUUAAAUAAGAAAUCUUACAAACGACAGGUUACAAAUUGAUAACAUAUAUGUGAUUAUUUUGUAGAUGCAUCUACUAAAAUCAUAUAAUAUCAAAACCAUCCGCAUGAUGGAUGAAUGGACCCAUAUUC